CAAUCACGGGGCCUCCAUCUCACCCCACUGAUCCAUGAGGAAAUCAAUAGAGAGAAGAUCCUAGAACUCACCAACAAGAUGAUUGAGCUGCUGACUGGAGAGGUUCCUAUAAGGUGUCAGGAUGUCACCGGUCUAUUUUCUCCGAUGAGGAGUGGGAGUAUGUAAAAGGACACAAAGAUCUGUACAAAGACAUCAUGAUGGUGGAUCACCGGCCUCUCAUAUCACCAGUUAUGGAAGAGAGAACAACACCCGAGAGAUGUCCCAGUCCACAUCUUCCACAGGAUAAUUCAGAAGAACAUCACUGUGUCCCACAGGAUGAUCAGGUAGAUGGAUAUAAGGAUAUCAUGAUGGAGGAUCACCGGCCCCUCAUACCACCAGUUAAGGAAGAGAUAAGAACAUCGGAGAGAUGUCCC